rnacentral:lncRNA from 1 species
UGUGUUUUCACAGAGGAAGUCUAUGAUUAUAGAAAUUAUGUGAAUUCAGAUUGUUGGAGUGAAAUUUGUUAUUCCUAGUGAUGCAUGGAAAUUAUUGUAUUUUGAGCGGAAUUUUGAGAAUGCAAGGUUAUACACUGUUAUUAUCAGUUGAUGAAAGAGUAUUGUUAUUGAGAGAAAGCAUCGUAAUAUUUCUUGGUGUUUUAGUGGUUCGAAAU